GGAGGAAAGCAGGGGAUCGCAAGACCUUGCGCUUUUGGAGUGGCCGAUGCCUGAUUAACUAGUUGGUGGGGUAAUGGCCUACCAAGGCGACGAUCAGUAGUUGGUCUGAGAGGACGACCAGCCACACUGGGACUGAGACACGGCCCAGACUCCUACGGGAGGCAGCAGUGGGGAAUUUUGGACAAUGGGCGAAAGCCUGAUCCAGCAAUGCCGCGUGAGUGAAGAAGGCCUUCGGGUUGUAAAGCUCUUUCAGCCGAGAAGAAAAGGUUGUGACUAAUAAUCACAACUCAUGACGGUAUCGACAGAAGAAGCACCGGCUAACUACGUGCCAGCAGCCGCGGUAAUACGUAGGGUGCGAGCGUUAAUCGGAAUUACUGGGCGUAAAGGGUGCGCAGGCGGCUUUGUAAGUCAGAUGUGAAAUCCCCGGGCUUAACCUGGGAAUUGCGUUUGAAACUACAAGGCUAGA
rnacentral:rRNA from 1 species